UACAGAGACUGCAAGCGUUAUUCGGAUUCACUGGGCGUAAAGGGUGCGCAGGCGGCCAAGUGUGUGAGGCGUGAAAGCCCGGGGCUUAACCCCGGAAUUGCACCUCAAACUACAUGGCUAGAGCAUUGGAGAGGGUAGCAGAAUUCACGGUGUAGCAGUGAAAUGCGUAGAUAUCGUGAGGAAUACCAGAGGCGAAGGCGGCUACCUGGACAAUUGCUGACGCUCAGGCACGAAAGCUAGGGGAGCGAACAGG
rnacentral:rRNA from 1 species